AGACACUCUGGUAUACUCGUUCGUUUCGUUUGCUUCGCCAUCAGGUUCGGUGACAAAAGUUAAUUUCUUCGUUUUUGCCUUUGCCUUGGCUAGUGAGUUUCAAUUUUUGUGCAUCGGUUUGCAGAAAAAUAAAUUUUUAUAAGAAACGAAUAAUUUCAUAUACAAGGCAAUUGACUUUGAAGAAAACAACAUAAUUUUCCAAGAAAACAAAGUUUUAAAUUAUACAACACUUGUAAAGAUAUCAUAUUAUUAUAAAUUGUGGAAAUCGCAUACCUGCGAUUAAAGUAGUGAAAUUUUGUAAUCACUUACAACUUGUUUGCGUCUUCAUUCGUUACAAAUUUUACGUUAUCGGCAACCGUGAGUGUGUGCGUGUGAGUUGAGUGUAUCGUUUAAAUCUCCAGUCACACAGUGGGUCAAUCAGCCAGUGAUUAGA